AGAGUUUGACCUGGCUCAGGGUAAACGCUGGCGGCGUGUUUUAGGCAUGCAAGUCGAGCGAUAAGCAUUCCGACUUGUCGGAGUGUGGACAGCGGCAAACGGCUGAGUAACACGUGAGUAACCUGCCCUUCGGUGGGGAAUAAUCCGUCGAAAGAUGGACUAAUACCGCAUAAGUUGCCCCGGUUGAUACCGGGGUAGGAAAGGUCUUCGGAUCGCCGUUGGAGGGGCUCGCGGCUUAUCAGGUAGUUGGUGAGGUAAUGGCUCACCAAGCCUAUGACGGGUAACUGGUCUGAGAGGACGAUCAGUCAGAGGGGGACUGAGACACGGCCCCCACUCCUACGGGAGGCAGCAGCUUAGAAUCUUGGGCAAUGGGCGAAAGCCUGACCCAGCGACGUCGCGUGGGGGAUGAAGGCCUAUGGGUCGUAAACCCCUUUUAUGAGGGAAGAGAUAGGACGGUACUUCAUGAAUAAGGCCCGGCUAACUACGUGCCAGCAGCCGCGGUGAUACGUAGGGGCCGAGCGUUACCCGGAUUUACUGGGCGUAAAGGGCAUGUAGGCGGCACAGCAAGUCUUCCGUGAAAUCUCCUGGCUUAACUAGGAGGCUGCGGGGGAAACUGCUGAGCUUGAGGACAGGAGAGGGGGGCGGAAUUCCCGGUGUAGCGGUGACAUGCGUAGAUAUCGGGAGGAACACCCGUGGCGAAGGCGGCCCUCUGGCCUGCUCCUGACGCUGAGGUGCGAAAGCUUGGGUAGCGAACCGAAUUAGAUACUCGGGUAGUCCAAGCCCUAAACGAUGUGUGCUGGGUAUGGGGGGUAUCGACCCCCUCCGUGCCGAAGCUAACGCGUUAAGCACACCGCCUGGGGUGUACGGUCGCAAGGCUAAAACUCAAAGGAAUUGACGGGUCCCCGCACAAGCGGUGGAGCGUGUGGUUUAAUUCGAUGAUAAGCGAAGAACCUUACCAGGGCUUGACAUACUGGUUUUAGAAACCCGAAAAGGUGACGACUCCGAUUUAUCGGAGAGCCAAUACAGGUGCUGCAUGGCUGUCGUCAGCUCGUGCCGUGAGGUGUCGGGUUAAGUUCCGCAACGAGCGCAACCCUCGCCGUUAGUUGUUUUCUCUAACGGGACUGCCCUCCAUAAGGGGGAGGAAGGUGGGGAUGACGUCAAGUCAGCAUGGCUCUUACGCCCUGGGCUACACACACGCUACAAUGGUCGGCACAACGGGUCGCUAAGGCGCGAGCCGGAGCCAAUCCCAUCAAAGCCGGCCUCAGUUGGGAUUGCAGGCUGCAACUCGCCUGCAUGAACGUGGAAUCGCUAGUAACCGCAGGUCAGCAUACUGCGGUGAAUACGUUCCCGGGGAUUGUACACACCGCCCGUCAAGUCAUGGAAGCCGGAGACACUUAAAGUCGUUGUGCUAACUCACUUCGGUGGGAGGCAGGCGCCUAGGGUGGGGCUGGUGACUGGGACUAAGUCGUAACAAGGUAACC
rnacentral:rRNA from 1 species